rnacentral:rRNA from 1 species
CAAUAGCGUAUAUUAAAGUUGUUGCAGUUAAAAAGCUCGUAGUUGGAUUUCUGGUAGGAGCGACCGUUCCGAACUUGAUUGUUCGUGUAUUGAGUUGUCUCCAGCCAUCCUUGUGGAGAACUUUUCUUGCAUUAAUUUGUAGGGAUUGGGACCCGCAUCGUUUACUGUGAAGAAAUUAGAGUGUUUAAAGCAGGCAAUCGCUUGAAUACAUUAGCAUGGAAUAAUAAGAUAGGACUUUGGUACUAUUUUGUUGGUUUGCAUACCAAAUUAAUGAUCAACAGGAACAGUUUGAGGAUAUUCGUAUGAACAUGUCAGAGGUGGAAUUCUUGGAUUUUGAUCAGACGAACUACUGCGAAAGCAUUUAUCAAGGAUGUUUUCAUUAA